CCUACGGGAGGCUGCAGUGGGGAAUAUUGGACAAUGGGGGGAACCCUGAUCCAGCCAUGCCGCGUGUGUGAAGAAGGCCCUCGGGUUGUAAAGCACUUUCAGUGAGGAAGAACGCCUGGUGGUUAAUACCCAUCAGGAAAGACAUCACUCACAGAAGAAGCACCGGCUAACUCCGUGCCAGCAGCCGCGGUAAUACGGAGGGUGCGAGCGUUAAUCGGAAUUACUGGGCGUAAAGCGCGCGUAGGUGGCUUGAUAAGCCGGUUGUGAAAGCCCCGGGCUCAAUCUGGGAACGGCAUCCGGAACUGUCAAGCUAGAGUGCAGGAGAGGAAGGUAGAAUUCCCGGUGUAGCGGUGAAAUGCGUAGAGAUCGGGAGGAAUACCGGUGGCGAAGGCGGCCUUCUGGACUGACACUGACACUGAGGUGCGAAAGCGUGGGUAGCAAACAGGAUUAGAUACCCCGGUAGUC
rnacentral:rRNA from 1 species